rnacentral:rRNA from 1 species
UACGUAGGGAGCAAGCGUUGUCCGGAAUCAUUGGGCGUAAAGCGCGCGUAGGUGGCUUCGUAAGUCCGUUGUGAAAGUCAAAGGCUCAACCUUUGAAAGCCGAUGGAUACUGCGGAGCUAGAGUACGGAAGAGGCGAGUGGAAUUCCUGGUGUAGCGGUGAAAUGCGCAGAUAUCAGGAAGGAACACCCGGUGGCGUAAAGGGCG